rnacentral:lncRNA from 1 species
UAACCCAUUUUAUUUAUAAUUGUUUACAAUGACGAUCGGGAUGAUCUCUGAAAGAGAUUUAGCCAGAUCCGAUCUACAAACUGAUUUUAAAAGUGAGAGAUAGAGAGUGGGACAAACAAAUUCAGAUAUGAGGCCAGAUCUACUCAAAAGUGAGUAGAUCUACUCUCAUAUCAGUAGAGGAGCCAGCAUUGAUCCGAAAUACGAAAUACAACAGAAAAUGUAUUAAAACGGAUUUAAUUCUAAUAAAAAUAAAUAAAUAUAGGAAAGAAAUGCAAAAAAGAGUGAAAGAAUCCAAACCGGGACUCCCGAGGCUUCGAGACCACACUCAUAUCAAGACCGGCUGAGUUUAUGUCGUGCGUCCUCUUUGUCCCUCUUCAUGUUUUGACUAGGCCUUAGCUUGGUUGGAUGGAUUUCUUAAUCUACGAGCUACAUGUGACUUAAAGCUAAGGUUUUUCCUAGAUAUAGGCUUUUCUCAGGUCUCACAAACUCAAAGUUUUCUCUAAUCACACGAGCUAAUAAGGUCUAAAGAGUCUCGCCUAAAAUGAUCCCAAAAUGACAUUUUUUAUAAACUUAACAUCAUCUGGAAUGGAUAACAAACCAUAACCAGAAGAUUUCCCAACCUAGACUGCUGUUUUGGUGGUCCAAGGCUUGACCAAAAUCGUUAAGGUUCGUUGAACCUGGCAAAAAAUGAUUCCGGAGGGGUUGGCAGGUAGAAACUGCGAAUUUUGAGCAGGCGGAGGUGGGUCGCCUAGACCAAAUCUGCUCAAAAUUGGUAGAUUCCAGUUUAAGGUGAUUUUCGGGCUUUUGGGAUGCUGCUCGCCAAAAAUCAACCAAUUCUUGUCUUGGCUGAUUUUAGGGAUGUCGGGAUACUGCCUGUAAAAAGUUAGCCAAUUUGGAUCAGUUUUAGCUAGGCACCCAGACCAAAUCUACCUAUAAUAAAUAGAUUCCCGUUCUUAGGAGGUCUACUAGCUCUUGUGAUGCUGCUUGCCAAAAUUUGGAUCAAAACGAAAUGUUUUUCUAUUUUUAAUUUUUUUUUAUUAAAAUAAAGUGUUCUAUAGGAUUCUGGAUCACAAGACAAGCAGUAUGAACUAUGGAGGUCUAUAGCCUAAAGAUUUAUGGAGAUAAUGUGGUAUAAUUUUCCUUGUAUAUUGUUUGUGGCAAAGAUUCUUGUUCCAAAACUUCGCUGAAAUUCGGCUGAAUUUUUCACGACAUACUAGGUUC